rnacentral:rRNA from 1 species
UCCUACGGGAGGCAGCAGUGGGGAAUCUUGCACAAUGGAGGAAACUCUGAUGCAGCGAUGCCGCGUGAGUGAAGAAGGCCCUUGGGUUGUAAAGCUCUUUCGUCGGGGAAGAAAAUGACUGUACCCGAAUAAGAAGGUCCGGCUAACUUCGUGCCAGCAGCCGCGGUAAUACGAAGGGACCUAGCGUAGUUCGGAAUUACUGGGCUUAAAGAGUUCGUAGGUGGUUGAAAAAGUUAGUGGUGAAAUCCCAGAGCUUAACUCUGGAACUGCCAUUAAAACUUUUCAGCUAGAGUAUGAUAGAGGAAAGCAGAAUUUCUAGUGUAGAGGUGAAAUUCGUAGAUAUUAGAAAGAAUACCAAUUGCGAAGGCAGCUUUCUGGAUCAUUACUGACACUGAAGAACGAAAGCAUGGGUAGCGAAGAGGAUUAGAUACCCUCGUAGUCCAUGCCGUAAACGAUGUGUGUUAGACGUUGGAAAUUUAUUUUCAGUGUCGCAGCGAAAGCGAUAAACACACCGCCUGGGGAGUACGACCGCAAGGUUAAAACUCAAAUGAAUUGACGG